UCAGGGUCCAGAACCAGGCAACCUCUCGCAUCGCUCAGCCUUAUCCUCCCAGUCCCAGCGCUCAUUCCCUCUGUUGCGUUCAUCUCACCCGCCUGCAUCUCUCUCUCUGUCCCCUCUGGCUUGUUGAGCUCGAGUGUGCCUCGUCCUUGCGAGGGAGGCCUCCGGCGAACGCACGAGCUUCUUGACCAAAAGCGUAGCAGCGCGCGAGCCUGCCCAUGGCAGCGCACGAUGGAGAGGAUGAUGGCACCGGUUCCAUGGACAUGCAUGUUCGCCUUAGCUUCAAAUCCGGGUCGGUGAUGUGGUCCUUUUUUUCUUGAUUCCGAAGAUUUAUGGAUUGCUCCGUGGAUUCAUCUUGUAGAUUUGUUCUCUGAUUUUUCUUGAUGUCGGAGGAUGAUGGCGUCGAUGUCGGAGGACGGCGGGAGGUCGUCGGUGGACAUGGGGUGGAGGGCAAAGGUGGGAACCGGCCGCAGGCCCCAGAUCCGGACGGAGCGGCGGCGGGAUGUCGACGGUGGAGAUGGGAUGGAGGGCGAAGGUAGGAACUGGCCUCCGGCCUCGGAGCCGGACGGAGCGGCGGCGUCUCGAUCCCCCGAGGUAGGGGCCCGGAGCUGGACGGAGCGGUGGCAUCUUAAUCCCCCGAGGGAGGGGCCGGAGCCGAGGGAGGAGCCCAGAGCCGGACGGAGUGGGGAGAACAAAACUAUUGCUCUGUGAUUUUCUUUCUGCUUCAAAAGAACAUAACAUCUGACAAGACUAGAUGGAUACAGCAGUAAAAGCAGAUGCUGGACUACAGUAGUCUUAAAUGGGCUGGCCAUAUGAGUUCAUGAUGACUUGUAUAUGCUAGGUUAAUGAUCUUUUUUUUUCUCGAAAAGGUAGGUUAAUGACUUUAUCAGGAAUUGAGCCUAGCUCAACUUCUUCGGGAAUGGGGUGACUGAUGUGGUUGUGAACCCCAACCACCCGCGUCCGAGUCCUCUGCAACUUGAAUUCGGGUUGGGUCUCGGAUGACUUUAUCAGGGAGAGUUGCUCUCCAUUCUAUCUUAUUUGUUUCUACACAAAUGCCUUAUUAUCAUGGUAACAUGAAAUGUGUUUUUGUUUUACUUUUCCAUUAAGUAAGCUUCCUACCAACUUUGUGUGGAAUAUUGAGCACCGCUUUUUGGUACUUACACUCUAUCUCAUUGAACAGUGACAACCGCCAAGUUUCAGGAAAGGUUCUUGUCUAUAAACAUCCUGGGUUACACUUCGGCGAUAUACAUAAGUUGACAGCAACACAUAUUGAUGGUCUGCAGGAAAUUGUGGGGGAUUCCAAAUAUGAUAUAUUUUUUCCAACCUCUGGAUCACGGUCUUUGGCUGAUGAAAUGGCCAAUAGCGAUUUUGAUGGAGACAUGUAUUGGGUCUCAUGGAACUCACAGUUACUGAAGCACUUCGAACCUGGUAAACCAUGGGAGCAUAGAAACCCACCAAAAAAAUACUAAACAGAAGAAGCCUCAGGAUUAUGAUGGAUCUAAGCUGGAAAGCUUGUUGGUCUCUGAGUUUUUGAGGGCUAGAUUCUCGCCAAGGUAUUAACGUAUGAGGCUAGUUACUGCUGUACCCUAUAGUUCUGUUGGCAUUUUUAUUUGCCACUAGGCUGGAGGUCUGUGAGUUUUUGAGGGCUAGAUUCUCGCCAAGUUAUGUGCUAGGUACAUCUGCAAAUUGUUGGUUAACACUCAUGGAUCGGCUGUUGACACCUGGAGUUUCUCAGAGUGAAAAGGAUUUAAUAAAGAUCAAUAUGCUUGAGUUGGUUGACAUUUACUAUUGGGCCUUGGAUGCCCCGAAGAAUGGGAAUAAGAUCAUAAUUCCUCAGUAACUGAUGGUCAAGAAGUACCCACACUUCUUGGAACGGGAACCUUCCUACCAUUCAACAUCAUUGCUGGGCGAGAUCUAUGAUCAAGCGAAAUCACAACAGUCUGAAACUGCUCCUCCAAUCAAUAAGUAGCUACUUUUUGCUUGCUCAUGGAAUACACUCUGUUGGGAAACGAAUCUUUAAAAGGCUCGAAUGCAACUGAAUUAGAGUAUCGCUUGUAUUUUAGUUUCAAGACAAAUGUGCAUCUUUACAUCGGGGUAGGGCUCUCCUUUUAUAGUGUCUUGGAAGGCACUUUACAUUCCUCAAUUACCUUACUCAAACACUACAUUCCGAGAAUAUGCUAUACAUGAAGGUCUUUUGGAGAUAA